rnacentral:rRNA from 1 species
GACGAACGCUGGCGGCGUGCUUAACACAUGCAAGUCGAGCGAGAAAGCGGCUUCGGCCGUGAGUACAGCGGCGAACGGGUGAGUAACACGUGGGCAACCUGCCCCAGAGAUUGGGAUAGCGUCCCGAAAGGGACGCUAAUACCGAAUAACGCGUGACCUGCCAAGUGGGUCACGCCAAAUGGUAGCCUCGGCCUCUGCUCUGGGAUGGGCCCGCGCCGGAUUAGCUUGGUGGUGGGGUAACGGCCUACCAAGGCGACGAUCCGUAGCUGGUCUGAGAGGACGAUCAGCCACACUGGGACCGAGACACGGCCCAGACUCCUACGGGAGGCAGCAGUGGGGAAUCUUGCGCAAUGGGCGAAAGCCUGACGCAGCAACGCCGCGUGAGCGAAGACGGCCUUCGGGUUGUAAAGCUCUGUCAGGAGGGACGAAGCCACUCGGGUGAAUAGCCCAGAGGGUGACGGUACCUCCAGAGGAAGCACCGGCAAACUCUGUGCCAGCCGCCGCAGUAA